UGACUUGUAAACACUAAUUAUAAUGAAAAUGCCGGAGAAAAAGAAGAAAAAUUACUCAUCAAAAUACAACAACGCAUGGGAACAGGAAUUUCCUUGGAUUAGCAAAGCAGGCAACGGACUAGGUUUUGCUUUCUGCAUGUUAUGUAGGAGAACGUUUUCUGUCUCGCAUGCGGGCAAGAACGAUGUUAGAAAACAUGGACAAACAUUAGUUCAUAGCAAAGCAGAGAAGUCUGAACUUCACACAAGCAACGUCAGAAGCUACUUCGUCAGUGCAGAUGAGAAACCCGACGUUAUUAAUGUGGAAAUCAUCUGGGCACAGUUUGUGGCAGAGACAAACCUUCCGUUCAGUGUAUCGGACACAUUUAACAAGGCAGUGAAGGUCAUGUUUCCUGAUAGUGACAUUGCCAAGAAGUUCCAGUGCGGGAAAACUUAAAAUCCACUCGGAUUGUUAAGGGUGCUUUAGAUCCAGAUGUCAGGAAGCCAGUGAUCGAAAAAUGCCGGAAACAGCCCUUUUCGUUGGCCAUAGACGAGAGUAAUGACAGGGGUGAUGACAAGCUGUUGGUAAUCUUGGUACGGCUCUUCGACUUUGAAUUGGGUUGCUCGGUGACACGUCUGCUGGACAUGCCUGUCUGCAAUGUUGGGACAGGGGCUGCAAUCUUCCACACGUUGAAGACCGUACUAUUUAAAGUGACAAUGACAUUCCGUGGAACAACUUGGUGGCGUUCACUAGUGACAACUGCAACACAAUGAUUGGGAAAAACAACUCGGUGCUCAGUCGUGUGCGUGAGAAAAAUCCCCAUGUGUAUGCCCAUGGAUGUGUUUGCCAUAUGGCCAACCUGUGUGCUUCUGCUGGUGUUAAAGUUCUCCCCAUCAGUGUUGAUGAGUUGCUGACUGACAUAAUACUUCCAUUUUGAUCAGAGUACACUAAGAGGAAGGAACUGUACAAGGAGUCCCUUGAGUUUACAGAGGUUGACCCAACUAAGCUGCUCAAGCAUGUCAGUACCCGCUGGCUCAGUCUACAGAAGUGCAUUAACAGGACACUUGACCACUACCCUGCACUACAGAGCUACUUCCAGUCCCAUAACGAUGUUGAAAGGCAAGGGCGUAUUAGGCGUGUUGCUCAACUCCUCUCAGACCCUACAACCAUCUUGUAUCUGAGAUUUUUAAGCUUCAUUCUUGCGGCAUUGAAUGAAUUCAACACAACAUUCCAGGCUGAUGAUUCACGUAUUGGGUACAUGGCUACAGAGGUCCAGCACAUCAUGCGGAAAUUCUUGAAGAGGUUUGUCAGGUCACAGGUUAUCAGGGAGGCUAAUGAUGUAAGAUCCAUCGCCUAUGACGAUAUAUCAAACCAGCUUCCUGACGAUAAAAUUGCAGUCGGCCAGACCACUAGGUGCUACAUCAGGGAACACGAAGAUGACCUGACUGACGAUCAACUGGACAAGUUCUUCAGGUCAGUUUGGGCCUUCUAUCAAGCAACAGUGAAAAAGAUGCUGAACGCUUCCCCUUUGAUGACCCAGUCCUCCAGGACUCCAGUUUCCUGGUUCCUACCAGCUGGGAAGAGAUCGAACAAGAUGCAGUUGUGCGACUAGGAAGAAGAUUCCCUGGUAUAAUCCACCCAGAGGACCUGGAUCAACUUGAGGAGGAGUAUGGGGACCUCCAGGUGCUCACACCUAACGUACUUCCAGAGAAUGAUGAGCACACCAAGCUGGACGAGUACUGGGGAAAACUGGCAUCCAUGAGGAACAAAAUAACAGGAAAGUCCAGAUUUCCAACACUGACUAGAUUGGCCUGUACUUUACUGACAAUACCUAACAGCAAUGCUGACUGUGAACGAACAUUUAGCUGUGUAAGAAAAGUUCAGA